GACGAACGCUGGCGGCGUGCUUAACACAUGCAAGUCGAACGGAAAGGCCCUGCUUGCAGGGUACUCGAGUGGCGAACGGGUGAGUAACACGUGGGUGAUCUGCCCUGCACUUCGGGAUAAGCUUGGGAAACUGGGUCUAAUACCGGAUAGGAGCCAUCUUUAGUGUGGUGGUUGGAAAGUUGUUUCGGUGUAGGAUGAGCUCGCGGCCUAUCAGCUUGUUGGUGGGGUAAUGGCCUACCAAGGCGGCGACGGGUAGCCGGCCUGAGAGGGUGUACGGCCACAUUGGGACUGAGAUACGGCCCAGACUCCUACGGGAGGCAGCAGUGGGGAAUAUUGCACAAUGGGCGCAAGCCUGAUGCAGCGACGCCGCGUGGGGGAUGAAGGCCUUCGGGUUGUAAACUCCUUUCGCUAGGGACGAAGCUUUUUUGUGACGGUACCUAGAUAAGAAGCACCGGCUAACUACGUG
rnacentral:rRNA from 1 species